ACAGGUUGUAACAUUAUUAAUGGAAUAGAGUGUGUUCAGCAGGCCUACAGGUUGUAACAUUAUUAAUGGAAUAGAGUGUGUUCAGCAGGCCUACAGGUUGUAACAUUAUUAAUGGAAUAGAGUGUGUUCAGCAGGCCUACAGGUUGUAACAUUAUUAAUGGAAUAGAGUGUGUUCAGCAGGCCUACAGGUGUGCCUGGGCCUACAGGUUGUAACAUUAUUAAUGGAAUAGUGUGUGUUCAGCAGGCCUACAGGUGUGCCUGGGCCUACAGGUUGUAACAUUAUUAAUGGAAUAGAGUGUGUUCAGCAGGCCUACAGGUGUGUCUGGGUAAAAGAGUAGGCUAACUGGAAAAAGACUGUUCAAUUGUGUUGGUAACAAAUGUCAGGAUUGCUGUUGAUCUCUUUACACGUAUGGGUACAAAUCCCCUGUCUAUGCGGAUUGCGAGAUGAGUGGAAGUCACAAGACAUUUGUGUUACACAAUCUGGUCCUGAUAUAACCUGAUAUCUAUCUGUUUUGGAUAAAUGGAAAUAGGUGCUUCUGUGUAUGGCCCAUGGUAUCUCCAUACCCAUCUCCAGCAGCCUAGAGCAUGGAGCUCCACACGCUGUCCCGUUUUCAUGCAAGAGGGUCCUGUCACUUAAAACGUUUCAUCAUACUGUUUGAACUCAGGCUCGUUAACAGGCUCGGGUCAUGUGAAACCAUUUCAGUUUCAUUCUGACCACAAUGGCCAGGCAGCUGUUGUAAACGGCCUUGACAUCGUAGGUACCAUGCCAUCUUGGAGCAAAUGCGUUUCCUUUUAAACUCUCACCAUGAUCAUGUCUCCUUCUGUGAAUCUGGCUUCAACCUCUGGGUUGAACAGAACAUCGUUUGAUCGGUCUGACUGAAACUGUCUCAGCGUAGCCUGUGCAUACAGCACCUGGAGUCUGUCCUGACACCUUUGGGUUGCAAAAUUUGUCUGGCAAUCCAUUCUUUCAGAAAGAGGUUUUAUCUUUCCACAAAAGCGUCCGACUCUGGUUCGUAUGUCACGUGAACCCUCUUUAUUGUUGAAAAUGUUUCACUUAUCCUUUGUGACUUUCCCGGUGAAGUGGUCCUCACAGUCUGACUCACAGUGAUUUGGCACUCCCCAGAGGGGGAUGAUUGGGUUGGCUAGAACACGUGCUGUGGUGUGGGUCAAACAGUACCUAUAGUAUACCAGCCCUUUGCAGGUUGACGUGGCCCUACACUAUGCAGUCAAUUUGGAAUGGCUCCCAGGGACCCCUCAGAGGUUCUGUUCUGCUGUGCCUUGUCAGUUCGCAUCUCCCCUGGUUAAACACAACACACCAAGCAUGUCUGCACCAUUGUUCAAUAUCAGUGGCCAGGCUUGGCCAGCAAUAGAACUGCUUCACAAGGACACAUGAGCAUAUUCUUGAUACAUUUUGAUGGGCUUCCGUAAAGAACCUGGGACCACAUACUGUAUUUUCCAUCAUGGAGAACAAUCCCCUGUACAACUGUGACUAGCAAAUCCUCUUUCAAUUUAGCCUCCAGUUCCCCCUUAUAGACCCAUAACUCAUUCUGGGAAUCUCUCAAAAACCAUGGGUGUGGCCUGAAAGGUACUCUUACAGACCUUCCAAUAAACAUUUCAUUACACUACACAGGGUUAUGAAAGGGUGGAGGGCGGGACAGAUCUAUUGUAUUUUCCUUGAAAAGACCAAAGCAGGUUGUUUGAUUAAUUCACGUGCUGGACGAAGGAAAGGCUGGUGAGCUGGAAGGGAGGUUUUAUAUUUGACGGCCCCCUUUAAAAUAACAUAUGGAGUAGGAAAGUGUUCAGUGGCUAAGUGGCAAGUAAACAUUUGCUCACCUCUUGUUAUUAGAGAUAAUGCCUCCGACAUUUCAAUGUCACAGUGACAUCAGCUGUCGUUCCCAGGCUGAAAAAAAGAGUCAGGCCCGACAUGGGAUGAAUCGAUAGCCUCAUCCCAUUACUACGGCAUCCAGGCAGGCCCUUUUCCAGAGAGAGGAAAAGAGAAAUUCAGCAUUUACUCGUCCACAGCACAUUUCCCUCGCAAUGAGCAGAUGCUGAAUGGCUAUGAGCAGCACACUUAAAGACCUGGCGGACACAGGAGGACAGGCCACGACCAGGGGCUAAUAGGAAACAGCGGAAUGACUUCAGUCACGGAGUCGCACAUGUGGGUCCAUACCAGAUAAAAUGCAAGGUUCAAAAAACUAAUUGAACGAGACCAGCAAUAAGGAUCUGGCCCUGACUGAGGAGGCAUGCUUGAGUGAUGACAGUGGGGCCAUCAUUCUUUGACGCCAUCUAGCUGGAAAAUCCUUUCUAGGUUUAUUUUAAACAUUGACACAGACCGCAUCCUACUGUGGUCUGGGUCAAUGUUUAUGUUCUUUCAAGUGAGUUACUUAAUGCUUCCGGAAGCCUGAUAUUCCACUAAGUAAUGCUUAAAUAAAUUCUGCGUACCACUAACGCACAUCAUUUUGCCUGUAUUAUGGAAACCCUAUUUGAUGGGCCCAAAUUGCCCACUCAGUACAGAUGAGCCACAGCUGUUGAAUGAGGCAUGCUGGGUAGUCUGCCUGUCAGUGUGUGUGUGUGUUUGGCAGGCUCUGACUCAGCAUACUGACGUGCGCUGCCGGGAGAGAGCACGAGAGGCCGGUUCUUUUAUUACCUAAUCCAGUUUGGGAGAUGAAUCCAGCCAGUAAUCUAAUAUUCCUAUAAACGAUUCCUCCUUUGUACAUUAAUCACUGACCUUACCCAAUAACAGCACAUUUUCCAACCCCCGGCCACUGGAAAGACAAGAGACGUGUCUGUGUAUGAGGUUG
ensembl:lncRNA